rnacentral:lncRNA from 1 species
UCGCGUGCGUGUCCUUCCUCGCUUCUAGUACCACUUCCGUAGGUGAUCACGGUUGCAUUUAGCACAUGCAACAAGCCCUUUAAACCCCUAGAUAGCUCUAGUGGACGAGUGUGCUCUCGUGAUGGUUUGUAGAAGAUGUACCCACAAAAUCCCAAGUCGUGAGGAAUCCACAAUUCUCUAUUCUUGCAAAUAAUGCACCAAAAACAACCUAAAAUGAUAGAAAAUCACUUCAUCACCUCAACUCGUGACCUGCACAGAAAAACACUAAAA